rnacentral:rRNA from 1 species
AUGUGCGACUUCCACCCUGAACAUGCCUGCUCUUGGUGGCUAAGCAUGGUUGGUCCUGGUGAAUACUUGUUUGGAUAGGAGGCUUCCUGGGAAUACUGGGUGCUGUAGACU